rnacentral:rRNA from 1 species
AACGAACGCUGGCGGCAUGCCUAAUACAUGCAAGUCGAACGAUCACUUCGGUGGUAGUGGCGCACGGGUGCGUAACGCGUGGGAAUCUGCCCUUGGGUUCGGAAUAACGUCGGGAAACUGACGCUAAUACCGGAUGAUGACGUAAGUCCAAAGAUUUAUCGCCCAGGGAUGAGCCCGCGUAGGAUUAGCUAGUUGGUGGGGUAAAGGCUUACCAAGGCGACGAUCCUUAGCUGGUCUGAGAGGAUGAUCAGCCACACUGGGACUGAGACACGGCCCAGACUCCUACGGGAGGCAGCAGUAGGGAAUAUUGGACAAUGGGGGCAACCCUGAUCCAGCAAUGCCGCGUGAGUGAUGAAGGCCUUAGGGUUGUAAAGCUCUUUUACCCGGGAUGUUAAUGACAGUACCGGGAGAAUAAGCCCCGGCUAACUCCGUGCCAGCCGCCGCCGUAA